UGUCCCAGCCGCCGCGGUAAUACGUAGGUGGCAAGCGUUGUCCGGAUUUAUUGGGCGUAAAGCGAGUGCAGGCGGUUCAAUAAGUCUGAUGUGAAAGCCUUCGGCUCAACCGGAGAACUGCAUCAGAAACUGUUGAACUUGAGUGCAGAAGAGGAGAGUGGAACUCCAUGUGUAGCGGUGGAAUGCGUAGAUAUAUGGAAGAACACCAGUGGCGAAGGCGGCUCUCUGGUCUGCAACUGACGCUGAGGCUCGAAAGCAUGGGUAGCGAACAGGAUUAGAUACCCUGGUAGUCCAUGCCGUAAACGAUGAGUGCUAAGUGUUGGGAGGUUUCCGCCUCUCAGUGCUGCAGCUAACGCAUUAAGCACUCCGCCUGGGGAGUACGACCGCAAGGUUGAAACUCAAAGGAAUUGACGGGGGCCCGCACAAGCGGUGGAGCAUGUGGUUUAAUUCGAAGCAACGCGAAGAACCUUACCGGGUCUUGACAUCCAGUGCAAACCUAA
rnacentral:rRNA from 1 species